rnacentral:rRNA from 1 species
AUUGAACGCUGGCGGCAUGCCUUACACAUGCAAGUCGAACGGCAGCACGGGAGCAAUCCUGGUGGCGAGUGGCGAACGGGUGAGUAAAGUAUCGGAACGUGCCCAGCCGUGGGGGAUAACGUAGCGAAAGUUACGCUAAUACCGCACACGAUCUAUGGAUGAAAGCGGGGGAUGGCAAGAUCCCGCGCACUUGGAGUGGCCGAUAUCGGAUUAGGUAGUUGGUGGGGUAAAGGCUCACCAAGGCGACGGUCUGUAGCUGGUCUGAGAGGACGACCAGCCACACUGGGACUGAGACACGGCCCAGACUCCUACGGGAGGCAGCAGUGGGGAAUAUUGGACAAUGGGCGAAAGCCUGAUCCAGCCAUGCCGCGUGCAGGAUGAAGGCCUUCGGGUUGUAAACUGCUUUUGUACGGAACGAAAAGGUUUGGCCUAAUAAGCUGAGCUCAUGACGGUACCGUAAGAAUAAGCACCGGCUAACUACGUGCCAGCCGCCGCGGUAA